rnacentral:rRNA from 1 species
AACGAACGCUGGCGGCAUGCCUAACACAUGCAAGUCGAACGAGAUCUUCGGGUCUAGUGGCGCACGGGUGCGUAACGCGUGGGAAUCUGCCCUUUGGUUCGGAAUAACAGUUGGAAACGACUACUAAUACCGGAUGAUGACGAAAGUCCAAAGACUUAUCGCCAGAGGAUGAGCCCGCGUAGGAUUAGCUAGUUGGUGUGGUAAAGGCGCACCAAGGCGACGAUCCUUAGCUGGUCUGAGAGGAUGAUCAGCCACACUGGGACUGAGACACGGCCCAGACUCCUACGGGAGGCAGCAGUGGGGAAUAUUGGACAAUGGGCGAAAGCCUGAUCCAGCAAUGCCGCGUGAGUGAUGAAGGCCUUAGGGUUGUAAAGCUCUUUUACCCGGGAUGAUAAUGACAGUACCGGGAGAAUAAGCUCCGGCUAACUCCGUGCCAGCCGCCGCGGUAA